rnacentral:rRNA from 1 species
GUCCGGCCCCCACUGGAAGUGAGCACGUCCGGACACUUACGGGUUGCGCAGUCGAGAAUCAUUCACAAGGGGGAAACCUUGAUGGUGCGCGCCGCGUGGGGAAUGAUGUCUUCGGAUGUAACCCCUGUCAUGUGGAGCAAAUUAAAAAGAUAGUCCACAAGAAGAAGAGACGGCUAACUCUGUGCCAGCAGCCGCGGUAAUACAAGAGGUCUCAAGCGUUGUUUCGAAUCACUGGGCGUAAAGCGUGCGUAGGCUGUUUCGUAAGUCGUGCGUGAAAGGCGCGGGCUCAACCCGCGGACGGCACAUGAUACUGCGAGACUAGAGUAAUGGAGGGGGAACCGGAAUUUCUCGGUGUAGCAGUGAAAUGCGUAGAUAUCGAGAGGAACACUCGUGGCGAAGGCGGGUUCCUGGACAUUAACUGACGCUGAGGCACGAAGGCCAGGGGAGCGAAAGGGAUUAGAUACCCCUGUAGUCCUGGCAGUAAACGGUGCACGCUUGGUGUGCGGGGAAUCGACCCCCUGCGUGCCGGAGCUAACGCGUUAAGCGUGCCGCCUGGGGAGUACGGUCGCAAGAUUAAAACUCAAAGAAAUUGACGGGGACCCGCACAAGCGGUGGAGUAUGUGGCUUAAUUCGAUGCAACGCGAAGAACCUUACCUGGGCUUGACAUGUAAUGAACAACAUGUGAAAGCAUGCGACUCUUCGGAGGCGUUACACAGGUGCUGCAUGGCCGUCGUCAGCUCGUGUCGUGAGAUGUUUGGUUAAGUCCAGCAACGAGCGCAACCCCUGUUGCCAGUUACCAGCACGUGAAGGUGGGGACUCUGGCGAGACUGCCCAGAUCAACUGGGAGGAAGGUGGGGACGACGUCAGGUCAGUAUGGCCCUUAUGCCCAGGGCUGCACACGUACUACAAUGCCCAGUACAGAGGGGGCCGAAGCCGCGAGGCGGAGGAAAUCCUAAAAACUGGGCCCAGUUCGGACUGUAGGCUGCAACCCGCCUACACGAAGCCGGAAUCGCUGGUAAUGGCGCAUCAGCUACGGCGCCGUGAAUACGUUCCCGGGUCUUGUACACACCGCCCGUCAAGGGCGAAUUCGCGGCCGCUAAAUCAAUCGCCCUAUACGAGUCG